GCUUUCGUUGGUAGUGUAUUGGACUACCAUGGCUCUCACGGGUAACAGGGAAUUAGGGUUCGAUUCUGGAGAAGGAGCCUGAGAAACGGCUACUACAUCUACGGAAGGCAGCAGGCGCGUAAAUUACCCAAUCCUGACUCAGGGAGGUGGUGACAAGAUAUAACAACGCAAUUUAAUUGUGAUUGUAGUGAGGGUAUUCCAAACCGAACCACUAGUACGAUUAGAGGGCAAG
rnacentral:rRNA from 1 species